rnacentral:rRNA from 1 species
CACGGAGGGUGCAAGCGUUAUCCGGAUUCACUGGGUUUAAAGGGUGCGUAGGUGGGCAAGUAAGUCAGUGGUGAAAUCUCCGGGCUUAACCCGGAAACUGCCAUUGAUACUAUUUGUCUUGAAUACUGUGGAGGUCAGCGGAAUAUGUCAUGUAGCGGUGAAAUGCUUAGAUAUGACAUAGAACACCAAUUGCGAAGGCAGCUGGCUACACAAAUAUUGACACUGAGGCACGAAAGCGUGGGGAGCAAACAGG